UUUUAGCAUUAAGCGAUCCAUCGGGCGACCUCUUGUUAAUAGACCGAGGUUUGCAAUCAUGCAGCAAGCGAUGUGGCUCCAAACACACACAAACACAGGAUCGCUGGAAUGUUUGAAAACUUAAAAUCGUCAGAAUUAGACGGUUUUCUAUUUAUAUCGUCAACUUUGUUUGAGGAAUUAUCGACGUUAAAGAAAUCUUUAUUCCCAUCUUUUGGAGUACUGUAAGUGAAUUUCACCCUUCCUCCAUGAUCGAUUUGACAGGGCCAAUGGUACGGUACGGUUUACAAGAGCUUUACACGCACGCCAUGGGAUAGUAUGUUGGAGUUCACGUUUAAGAUUUUGUAUCGGUCAUCUCACUGUAGGGAGGCAAGGCAUUUCAAAGAGAAACAAAAUAUCAGCGUCUCAGUUCCGACAUCGAUGUCCAAAAAAACUCGAUCAUAUCUAAUCUUUAUUAAUUAUCCCUUUAGUUAUUGUACUUAAUCAAUCUACAUUUCGGCAUUAAAUAAUGUAGCAGAACUUGAUUUAUUCUUCUUCUGUUAAAAUUAUAAUUUGCGAGAUGUGUCAUGUUGUAUAUUUUGUUUUUACUGCCACCCGGAAAAUUCAAAAUUUACAACAUGACAGAUGAUAAUAAACUUCACAGAAUUACAUGCGUGAAUCGCUAUACUGUAAGACGAAUCGUUGCUACAGAUAUGAAAAAGAUGUUGAAUCGUCUCCAGGUGUUUACUUUCAGAGAUAAUGCCAAAAAUGUAUCCCUUUUUAAUCAGUUCCUAGAGUUUUUAUAUGAUUUAUUACGUGAACAUUUGAAAAAAAUGAAUUCUCAUUAAUGCUGCAUCAAAGGAGUCAUCCACAAAGAAAACCAUCUAGCUGCUGUGAUGCUCUCGAUCUCUUCUACAGAAUUUUAUCGGAGGACCAGUAAUACAGCAAUACCAGAAAGGCUCAUCUUGCCACAAUUCCAGUUCUUUAUGGAACGACAAGGAUUUAUUCGGCUGUAGAUUAGUUUCUAUGAAAUCCGCAUCGGAAGAGUGGGAUAUUUUAUGUGCAAUUACUUUCGAAAAUACACCAUUUCGUCGAGGAUUAUUUAUGGAUUGUCACAAAGAGGAAUACGUACAAAAAAUGUUGCCCGGGAUUGAAUCAUGCAGAGCUAUUAGAUCUAUCUCGUAAAACAUUUUAUGUAUAUUAAUAAACAGACCACUUAAAAAGCCAUUUAAACAACGGCAUAUACUGGGGUCAGCCGAAUUUUUCGAUAAAAUGUCUCGACGAAAAUAGCGCAUCACACAUACCAGUCAUAGUGAGGAAAAUAUUCGCUUUCCAUCAUUUUCUCUUCCUAGUUGGUUAUGAUGUUCACAAGAAAACUUUUUUACAUUGCAUGCAUGCUGAUACAGAGACUUUUAGACUUGGCGCGUGUUUCGACGCUAGCUGAGAAUGUGACAAACAAAUACAAAAUACGCUCGACAUGGUACCGUGAUGAACUCAAAUCGAUAUAUAUAUUGGCUUGAAGUAAAGAUUUUAAAUAAACACAAACAAUGUCUAAUUU
rnacentral:sRNA from 1 species